CGCAUCUGUGCAUGCAGCAUAUCAAUAAGCGGAGGAAAAGAAACUAACAAGGAUUCCCCUAGUAACGGCGAGUGAAGCGGGAAGAGCUCAAAUUUGAAAUCUUAAAGGGUUUCCCUUUAUGAAUUGUAGUUUAAAGAAGUGUUUUCUGUUGAGGUUUUGGUAAAAGUUCUUUGGAAUAGGACAUCAUAGAGGGUGAGAAUCCCGUAUUUGACCUUUACUUUCAACUUUGUGAUACACUUUCAAAGAGUCGGAUUGUUUGGGAAUGCAGUCCAAAAUGGGUGGUAAAUUUCAUCUAAAGCUAAAUAUUGGCGAGAGACCGAUAGCGAACAAGUACCGUGAGGGAAAGAUGAAAAGAACUUUGAAAAGAGAGUUAAACAGUACGUGAAAUUGUCAAAAGGGAAGCGUUUGACACCAGUGUUGUUUUUCUGAAAAUCAAUUAAAGAACUGUUUAUGCUAAGCUGUUUAGACUUUAUCAGCUAACUGUUUAGUUUUGAGCUUUUCUUUAAUGCACCUUUUCAGUUAACAAGUCAACAUCAAUUUCUUUUGCUGUAAAAAAGCUUGAGGAAGGUGGCUUGAGAUUCGUCUUAAGUGUUUAUAGCCUCUUGCCUAUGCAGUCGGAGAGAUUGAGGUCUGCAGCGUAGAUCCUUCGGGGCUAAAUGCAUUUGUGCUAAGUUAUAGCAUUUUAUAGACAACUUGUUGACUAUGAUUUGUCUUGUAGCUUACUCGCUUAUGUUAUUUUACCUACGCUUAGGAUGUUGAACGCGCACAGAGUCUC
rnacentral:rRNA from 1 species